CGCACUCCACAAUUUCCAGGCUGCCAGUGUGGCUGGGGAAGGGGCAGGACAAGCACACUCAUCUGGACUGUGUCUGAAGCAGCUCAGAGAAUCAGACAAAGGUGGCAUCUAAAAUAAGGACCCGGAUGCGAUGGGAGCAAAGGUAAUAUGUGUCUCCACUGCUGCAGCUGAAGAACUGCGGUAGAGUGGCCCUGGUCAUCAUGCAGAAAAAUGAUUCCUGAUCACCAGUCCAAGGAACCACAGAAAGAAGAGAUGGGGCCACAACUGGAACAUAGAUCUGAGAUCUGCCUUUUAAUUUGUACCUUCUCCUAGGGUGAAGACAGGGAGGCAGGAAGGGGAUUACUGGGGGCUGCAGUAAAGAACAAGCUCUGUGCAAAGGAAGCCUCUCUUACUAUGCAGCAUCUCACCUAAUUAACCCUCACAACAGCUCUAUGUGGUUGGUCCUAUUAUUAUUCCCAUUUUAUAGAUGGGGAAACUGAGACUCAAAAAUGUUGAGUAAGUAGUGCUGCGUCCCAAGAUGAGGACAAAGGGGAACCAUGGCUGGAACACAGGCCUCUGGACACUCCAAAUCAUAGCAUUGCCCUGUGAUUCUGCCACGUUUUGACCCAGCACAAAAGCUCUCGCUAGAAGCCAAGUGGAUGCUGCCACCAUUUGAACUUCCCAGUCUGCAGAACUGUGAGCUCUACCUCUUUAUAAAUUACCUAUCUCAAGUAUUCUGUUACAAGAACACCAAAUGGACUAAGGUAAGUAUUUAUCCAAAGGAAAUAAAAAUGUAUGUCUGCUUCCCCUUCAGUAGGAAAAGUCACUUCAUCUCUUAACCUUAAAUGAUCUUCCAAGCAAGAGGAGGGGAGAGGGGGAGUAUAAGGUUUUUUUCUGUCCCAUCUUUUUCAGAAGGUAUCUAAGUCCUUCCUGUGUAUGUCUUCUAAAGACACGGUACCAGGACCUAGAAAGGCUGAGAUUUAGAGCCUCAUGGUUCAAACUGAGUUGUAGGGUCCUAGCCAGGAGUACUUGCCUGGAUCUUCUAAGAAUCUCACAACAGUGCCACAUGCCUCAGCUUUACCCAAGCAACAGAAGGAGGUGGUGGAGGUGGCGGCAGCAGCAGCAGCAGCAGCAGUGGCAGCAAAUCUGUCCCCAGUGCACUACAGUACUGUUUUGCUAUGAUGAAAUACACAUGGCAUAUGGCUACAAAGUUACUAUCUUGAGAGUGGAUAGAAAUGGGAUUUUUCAUGUGCCAGAUUUCACUUCCCUUUCUGAAACAAUUCUUGUAGUAAACAGAGGUUUUUGAUCUUGCUAAGAUCAAGAGGAUGGGAAUUCCUUUAUACUUUUAAAGUAAGACUAUUGUCUUGUAGCGUUUCAGUCUGUUGAUGGUGCAAAUGUUUUUUAACAUUGAUGCUAUUCUGCGUUCCUCCCUCUUUCCUUCCAAAGGCCAUGACAGGAAGAGGAGCUGCCAACACCAGAUGACCAACUCCUUUCCAGUUACAGACCACCCCGGUGAUGAGACCUCCAUAUGUUGUCUGAUGGCCACAGUUCCUUGGCAAAUGGGUGGGGAAGAGGAAAGAGAAGCGUGGCCUGUCAGCCCACCAUCGGAUGGUUCCACACUGACCUCCUCCAUGGCUUGGGGGUUGGAGUGCCCCAGCUGCUGCCGCCCUGGUAGCUUUCAUUAAAGGCCUUUGCUUUUUUGGAAGAAGAGAAUAAUGAGAUGAUGUAUGCAGAGCACUGGCAGAAAGCCUAGCAUAGAGGAAUCUGAAGAUUCACCAUGCAUGCUUCCUGGUGUAUAGUACUAGUCCUUGUCAGUGACACAGAGACUUGAAGACUGUAUAUAAAUGGACACACCUACUAGAAUGUAAGCUUCAUAUAAACAAAGACUUUUUUAAAAAUCUG